ACGGAAGGCAGCAGUGAGGAAUAUUGGUCAAUGGGCGGAAGCCUGAACCAGCCAAGUCGCGUGAAGGAAGACGGUAUUAUGUAUUGUAAACUUCUUUAGACGCAGAGAAAUAAGGUGCUCGCGAGCACUGAUGCUAGUAUGCGUAGAAUAAGGAUCGGAUAACUCCGUGCCAGCAGCCGCGGUAAUACGGAGGAUCCGAGCGUUAUCCGGAUUUAUUGGGUUUAAAGGGUGCGCAGGCGGCGCUUUAAGUCAGUGGUCAAACCGUGAGGCUCAACCUCAUCCCGCCAUUGAUACUGGAGCGCUUGAUUGCGGUUGAGGCAGGCGGAAUUCGUCGUGUAGCGGUGAAAUGCAUAGAUAUGACGAAGAACCCCGAUUGCGUAGGCAGCUUACCAAGCAGUAAAUGACGCUCAUGCACGAAAGUGCGGGGAUCGAACAGGAUUAGAUACCCUGGUA
rnacentral:rRNA from 1 species